rnacentral:rRNA from 1 species
GAUGAACGCUGGCGGCGUGCCUAAUACAUGCAAGUCGAACGAAACUUCUUUAUCACCGAGUGCUUGCACUCACCGAUAAAGGGUUGAGUGACGAACGGGUGAGUAACCCGUGGGCAACCUGCCCCAAAGAGGGGGAGAACACUUGGCAACAGGUGCUAAUACCGCAUAACCAUAGUUACCGCAUGGUAACUAUGUAAAAGGUGGCUAUACUACCGCUUUUGGAUGGGCCCGCGGCGCAUUAGCUAGUUGGUAGGGUAAAGGCUUACCAAGGCAAUGAUGCGUAGCCGAAUUGAGAGGUUGAUCGGCCACAUUGGGACUGAGACACGGCCCAAACUCCUACGGGAGGCAGCAGUAGGGAAUCUUCCACAAAGGGCGAAAGCCUGAUGGAGCAACGCCGCGUGGGUGAAGAAGGUCUUCGGAUCGUAAAACCCUGUUGUUAGAGAAGAAAGUGCGUGAGAGUAACUGUUCACGUUUCGACGGUAUCUAACCAGAAAGCCACGGCUAACUACGUG